GACGAACGCUGGCGGCGUGCUUAACACGUGCAAGUCGAACGGAAAGGCCCUGCUUUUGUGGGGUGCUCGAGUGGCGAACGGGUGAGUAACACGUGAGUAACCUGCCCUUGACUUUGGGAUAACUUCAGGAAACUGGGGCUAAUACCGGAUAGGAGCUCCUGCUGCAUGGUGGGGGUUGGAAAGUUUCGGCGGUUGGGGAUGGACUCGCGGCUUAUCAGCUUGUUGGUGGGGUAGUGGCUUACCAAGGCUUUGACGGGUAGCCGGCCUGAGAGGGUGACCGGCCACAUUGGGACUGAGAUACGGCCCAGACUCCUACGGGAGGCAGCAGUGGGGAAUAUUGCACAAUGGGCGGAAGCCUGAUGCAGCAACGCCGCGUGCGGGAUGACGGCCUUCGGGUUGUAAACCGCUUUCGCCUGUGACGAAGUGUGAGUGACGGUAAUGGGUAAAGAAGCACCGGCUAACUACGUG
rnacentral:rRNA from 1 species